rnacentral:miRNA from 1 species
GCAGACACAUUCCAGCCAAUCAGCAGCAGACCCUCUCUCCCAGACCCUCCCACCUCCUGGACAGCUCACUAAGAAUGCAGCUUCACAAUGAAUGUAAAAUGGUUGCUGUCCAGGAGGUGGGAGGGUCUGGGAGGGAGGGUCUGCUGCUGAUUGGCUGGAAUGUGUCUG